rnacentral:rRNA from 1 species
UACGGGGGGGGCAAGCGUUGUUCGGAAUUACUGGGCGUAAAGGGCUCGUAGGCGGCCAACUAAGUCAUACGUGAAAUCCCUCGGCUUAACCGGGGAGCUGCGUCUGAUACUGGAUGGCUUGAGUUCGGGAGAGGGAUGCGGAAUUCCAGGUGUAGCGGUGAAAUGCGUAGAUAUCUGGAGGAACACCGGUGGCGAAGGCGGCAUCCUGGACCGAUACUGACGCUGAGGAGCGAAAGCCAGGGGAGCAAACGGG